AUUGAACGCUGGCGGCAGGCCUAACACAUGCAAGUCGAGCGGAGCGGCGGACGGGUGGGUAAUUCCUAGAAAUCUGCCUGUUAGUGGGGGCUAACGUCCUGAAACGGGCGCUAAUCCCCCAUACUAUCAGAUGAGCCUAGGUGGGAUUGGUUAGUUGGUGGGUUAAAGGCCUACAAAGUCGACGAUCCGUAACUGGUCUGAGAGGAUGAUCAGUCACACUGGAACUGAGACAUGUUCCAGACUCCUACGGGAGGCAGCAGUGGGGAAUAUUGUACAAUGGGCGAAAGCCUGAUCCAGCCAUGCCGCGUGUGUGAAGAAGGUCUUCGGGUUGUAAAGCACUUUCAGCUAGGAGGCGUUACCAACAGAAGAAGCACCGGCUAACUCCGUGCCAGCAGCCGCGGUAAUUC
rnacentral:rRNA from 1 species